UACAGAGGUCUCAAGCGUUGUUCGGAUUCAUUGGGCGUAAAGGGUGCGUAGGCGGCGCGGUAAGUCGGAUGUGAAAUCUCGGAGCUUAACUCCGAAACUGCAUUCGAUACUGCCGUGCUUGAGGACUGGAGAGGAGACUGGAAAUUUACGGUGUAGCGGUGAAAUGCGUAGAUAUCGUAAGGAAGACCAGUGGCGAAGGCGGGUCUCUGGACAGUUCCUGACGCUGGAGGCACGAAGGCCAGGGGGAGCAAAACGGGG
rnacentral:rRNA from 1 species